rnacentral:rRNA from 1 species
UACGGGGGGAGCAAGCGUUGUUCGGAUUUACUGGGCGUAAAGGGCGCGUAGGCGGUCAGCACAAGUCAGUUGUGAAAUCUCCGAGCUUAACUCGGAACGGUCAACUGAUACUGUGCGACUAGAGUGCGGAAGGGGCAACUGGAAUUCUCGGUGUAGCGGUGAAAUGCGUAGAUAUCGAGAGGAACACCUGCGGCGAAGGCGGGUUGCUGGGCCGACACUGACGCUGAUGCGCGAAAGCCAGGGGAGCAAACAGG